AUUGAACGCUGGCGGCAGGCCUAACACAUGCAAGUCGAGCGGAUGACGGGAGCUUGCUCCUUGAUUCAGCGGCGGACGGGUGAGUAAUGCCUAGGAAUCUGCCUGGUAGUGGGGGACAACGUUUCGAAAGGAACGCUAAUACCGCAUACGUCCUACGGGAGAAAGCAGGGGACCUUCGGGCCUUGCGCUAUCAGAUGAGCCUAGGUCGGAUUAGCUAGUUGGUGGGGUAAUGGCUCACCAAGGCGACGAUCCGUAACUGGUCUGAGAGGAUGAUCAGUCACACUGGAACUGAGACACGGUCCAGACUCCUACGGGAGGCAGCAGUGGGGAAUAUUGGACAAUGGGCGGAAGCCUGAUCCAGCCAUGCCGCGUGUGUGAAGAAGGUCUUCGGAUUGUAAAGCACUUUAAGUUGGGAGGGAGGGCAGUAAGCUAAUACCUCGCUGUUUUGACGUUACCGACAGAGUAAGCACCGGCUAACUCUGUGCCAGCCGCCGCGGUAAGAC
rnacentral:rRNA from 1 species